GAUGAAGAACGUAGCAAAAUGCGAUAAGUAAUGUGAAUUGCAGAAUUCAGUGAAUCAUCGAAUCUUUGAACGCACAUUGCGCCCGCUGGUAUUCCGGCGGGCAUGCCUGUUCGAGCGUCAUUUCAACCCUCAAACCCCCCGGGUUUGGUGUUGGGGAUCGGCUCUGCCUCACGGCGGUGCCGCCCCCGAAAUACAUUGGCGGUCUCGCUGCAGCCUCCAUUGCGUAGUAGCUAACACCUCGCAACUGGAACGCGGCGCGGCCAUGCCUUAAAACCCCAACUUCUGAAUGUUGACCUCGGAUCAGGUAGGAAUACCCGCUGAACUUAAGCAUAUCAAUAAGCGGAGGA
rnacentral:misc_RNA from 1 species